rnacentral:rRNA from 1 species
AUUGAACGCUGGCGGCAUGCCUUACACAUGCAAGUCGAACGGCAGCACGGGAGCAAUCCUGGUGGCGAGUGGCGAACGGGUGAGUAAUAUAUCGGAACGUGCCCAGUCGUGGGGGAUAACGUAGCGAAAGCUACGCUAAUACCGCAUACGAUCUAUGGAUGAAAGCGGGGGAUCGCAAGACCUCGCGCGAUUGGAGCGGCCGAUAUCAGAUUAGGUAGUUGGUGGGGUAAAAGCCUACCAAGCCUUCGAUCUGUAGCUGGUCUGAGAGGACGACCAGCCACACUGGAACUGAGACACGGUCCAGACUCCUACGGGAGGCAGCAGUGGGGAAUUUUGGACAAUGGGCGCAAGCCUGAUCCAGCCAUGCCGCGUGAGUGAAGAAGGCCUCGGUUGUAAGUAC